GGUUGGUGGUUCGUGCCCACCCAGGGACGCCA
rnacentral:piRNA from 3 species